GUGCACUUGGUUUGUUGGAGAAAAUGAGCAGUCAUAUCUUCUAGGAAGUCGAUGAAGUUACCCAUUUAAGGGUGAACAACAGAAAGCAAAAAUCAUAAUGAUAUGGUGGCAACUAAUGAACAAAUGAAAAACAUCACAUAUGAGAAAGUGGUCUUUUUUGGUUGAGUACAUUUGAUCUUCUAUCAUAGCACUGUUUUGUGCUGCUCUGAAGUAUACCA
rnacentral:misc_RNA from 1 species